UGGCAGCCUGGCUCGUGGCCUCAACG
rnacentral:misc_RNA from 1 species